rnacentral:tRNA from 1 species
AAGAUACUAGUAAAAUUGCCAUAACAUUACCUUGUCAAGGUAAAAUUGUGGGUUAAAACCCCGCGUAUCUUA